rnacentral:rRNA from 1 species
AGAGACAGCAGCGCCACGGGAAUACAGAGGGUGCGAGCGUUAAUCGGAUUUACUGGGCGUAAAGCGUGCGUAGGCGGCUUUUUAAGUCGGAUGUGAAAUCCCUGAGCUUAACUUAGGAAUUGCAUUCGAUACUGGGAAGCUAGAGUAUGGGAGAGGAUGGUAGAAUUCCAGGUGUAGCGGUGAAAUGCGUAGAGAUCUGGAGGAAUACCGAUGGCGAAGGCAGCCAUCUGGCCUAAUACUGACGCUGAGGUACGAAAGCAUGGGGAGCAAACAGGAUUAGAUACCCGUGUAGUCCCUGUCUCUUUACAC